rnacentral:lncRNA from 1 species
GGAAUCUUGAUGGAGAACUUAAGUGGGUCCAGCAGGAAGAACAGAGAAUAGCAGCCCCGUGGAGCUCCCAUAUGGGAGCAGACCAGCCCCUGAGAUGGCACACAUCUCAGCAUGACUAAUCCUCAGCACAACCCCGUGUGGAUUGGAGAGACGUACAGGUGCAUCAAGAAGCCUAAGGAUGUUCAGUGCAAUGCUGCAUGUUGUGAAAACCUGAAGACCGCCACGUGGCAGCUGGCCUCCAAGUUGGCCCUUAUUGACCCCACCUCCUGCUCUCGCCUCAGCUGCAAUCCUCUCCCACUGAAUCAGUGUUAUUAUGUAUGACCAAUAGUCAACAGCACAUGGCAGUGUGAUGGCAUGCCAGCCAUUCCUGAACUUAGGCUAUACAAAGGCAGCAGCUUCUAUUCUGGGUUCUCUCCCUCUUUUUCAUCACUAAGGAAGCUGCCUUGUUGUGAACAGCCUUAUAGAAAGCCCCAUGUAGAGAAGAGCUGAGUCUUCCUGCCAUUUAAGUGAUGGCUUACACCUUAUAUGCCAAUCUUUUGCCCCUGGCCAAGUCUUCAGGUGACUGAAGCCCUGGCCCACAGCUCAACUGCAACCUCAUGAGAGACUCUGAUCCAGAACCAGCAGGAUAAGUUGUUCCCAGAUUCCUGGCCUCAAACUGAGGAGAUGAUAAACAUAUGUUAUUUUAAAGUGCUAAAUUGGGGGACUUCCCUGGUGGUCCAGUGGUUAAGAAUUCGCCUUGCAAUGCAGGGGACAUGGGUUCAAUCCCUGAUUAAGGAACAAAGAUCCCACGUGCCAUGGGACAACUAAGCCUGUGAGCCAAAACUACUGAGCCUGGGUGCCUCAACCAGAGAGCAUGCAUGGUGCAAACUACAGACCCCAUGCUCUCUGGAGUCUGUGCACCAGCACUGGAGAGAACCUCUGUGUCGCAACUAAGACCUGACACAGCAAAAGAAAUGUGCUAAACUGGGGAGUAAUUUGUUACACAGCAAUAGAUAACUAAUACACUCCAGACUACAGAGUUUUAUGCAGCAGUUAAAAAAUGGA